AUGCGCGGGUGCACAGGGCUCAGCAUUGUAUUCCCCAACCUGGUUCAAUGUCCAUUCUAAAAUUGCGUGCGGCGGCUAGGCUGAGGCCUUAGUUGGUGCCCGCUCGUCUCCAGCGCGGGGGUGCGCAUUCAUUCUCAACUGCGGCAUUGACAUUGAACUUUUCCUCGCGGGUUUCCCCUUCUUUGAUGGUCCUUACAAGUCUGACGGCCUUCUUUCUUCUCGUAAUCCACCAGAGUAACUUCACAUCUCAGCCUCUCAGCUCAUCAUCCGGGUGGGAUACAUAAAAUGGGAAUAG